rnacentral:rRNA from 1 species
CAGUCGCCGCGGGAAUACGUAGGGUGCAAGCGUUAAUCGGAAUUACUGGGCGUAAAGCGUGCGCAGGCGGUUCGCUAAGACAGAUGUGAAAUCCCCGGGCUUAACCUGGGAGCUGCAUUUGUGACUGGCGGGCUAGAGUAUGGCAGAGGGGGGUAGAAUUCCACGUGUAGCAGUGAAAUGCGUAGAGAUGUGGAGGAAUACCGAUGGCGAAGGCAGCCCCCUGGGCCAAUACUGACGCUCAUGCACGAAAGCGUGGGGAGCAAACAGGAUUAGAUACCCGUGUAGUCCCUGUCUCUUAUAA